rnacentral:rRNA from 1 species
AGCCGCCGCGGUAAUACGAAGGGACCUAGCGUAGUUCGGAAUUACUGGGCUUAAAGAGUUCGUAGGUGGUUGAAAAAGUUAGUGGUGAAAUCCCAGAGCUUAACUCUGGAACUGCCAUUAAAACUUUUCAGCUAGAGUAUGAUAGAGGAAAGCAGAAUUUCUAGUGUAGAGGUGAAAUUCGUAGAUAUUAGAAAGAAUACCAAUUGCGAAGGCAGCUUUCUGGAUCAUUACUGACACUGAGGAACGAAAGCAUGGGUAGCGAAGAGGAUUAGAUACCCUCGUAGUCCAUGCCGUAAACGAUGUGUGUUAGACGUUGGAAAUUUAUUUUCAGUGUCGCAGCGAAAGCGAUAAACACACCGCCUGGGGAGUACGACCGCAAGGUUAAAACUCAAAUGAAUUGACGGGGACCCGCACAAGUAGUGGAGCAUGUGGUUUAAUUCGAAGAUACGCGCAGAACCUUACCAACACUUGACAUGUUCGUCGCGACUUUAAGAGAUUAAAGUUUUCGGUUCGGCCGGACGAAACACAGGUGCUGCAUGGCUGUCGUCAGCUCGUGUCGUGAGAUGUUGGGUUAAGUCCCGCAACGAGCGCAACCCUCACUUUUAGUUGCCAUCAUUAAGUUGGGCACUCUGAAAGAACUGCCAGUGAUAAGCUGGAGGAAGGUGGGGAUGACGUCAAGUCCUCAUGGCCCUUACGUGUUGGGCUACACACGUGCUACAAUGGUAUCUACAACAGGAAGCAAGACUGCGAAGUUAAGCAAAUCCUUAAAAGAUACCUCAGUUCGGAUUGCACUCUGCAACUCGAGUGCAUGAAGCUGGAAUUACUAGUAAUCGUGGAUCAGCGUGCCACGGUGAAUGCGUUCCCGGGUCUUGUACACACCGCCCGUCACACCAUGGGAGUUGGUUCUACCUUAAGGCAAGGUUUAAAACCCUUGACCACGGUAUAGUCAGCGACUGGGGUGAAGUCGUAACAAGGUAGCCG